CUGUUCUCUUUCAGUCUGUGUGGUGUCUAGAUGAUGCCCAUGUGACAGCUGAAGACUGGCUCUGAUGGAUGACUUAGGUAACCUCUAGAGGGUACCCAUGGUGACCAUAAACCACUGUGCCCAUGUGGAAAACACUGCAGUCCUGGGGCAAAAGAUAAACUUCAUGCUUGAUAAAAAACAACUGAAAGGGUGUGCUCAGCUACUAGAAAGGAUGUGGGAAUUUGUGAGACUGGAAAAGGAAC
rnacentral:lncRNA from 1 species